rnacentral:rRNA from 1 species
GAUGAACGCUGGCGGCGUGCCUAAUACAUGCAAGUCGAGCGAACAGACGAGGAGCUUGCUCCUCUGACGUUAGCGGCGGACGGGUGAGUAACACGUGGAUAACCUACCUAUAAGACUGGGAUAACUUCGGGAAACCGGAGCUAAUACCGGAUAAUAUAUUGAACCGCAUGGUUCAAUAGUGAAAGACGGUUUUGCUGUCACUUAUAGAUGGAUCCGCGCCGCAUUAGCUAGUUGGUAAGGUAACGGCUUACCAAGGCAACGAUGCGUAGCCGACCGGAGAGGGUGAUCGGCCACACUGGAGCUGGGACACGGUCCAGACUCCUACGGGAGGCAGCAGUAGGGAAUCUUCCGCAAUGGGCGAAAGCCUGACGGAGCAACGGCGCGUGAGUGAUGAAGGUCUUCGGAUCGUAAAACUCUGUUAUGAGGGAAGAACAAAUGUGUAAGUAACUAUGCACGUCUUGACGGUACCUAAUCAGAAAGCCACGGCUAACUACGUG